rnacentral:tRNA from 1 species
GGCCGGGUAGCUCAGUUGGUUAGAGCGCGGGACUCAUAAGCCCGAGGUCGUGGGUUCGAUCCCCACCCCUGCCACCA